rnacentral:rRNA from 1 species
GACGAACGCUGGCGGCGUGCUUAACACAUGCAAGUCGAGCGGAAAGGCCCUGCUUUUGUGGGUUGCUCGAGUGGCGAGCGGGUGAGUAAAACGUGAGUAACCCGCACUUGACUUUGGGAUAACUUCAGGAAACUGGGGCUCAUACAGGGUAGAAUCUCCUGCUGCACGGUGGGGGUUGGAAAGAUUCGGCGGUUGGGGCUUGACUCGCGGCUUAUCAGCUUGUUGGGGGGGUAGUGGCUUACCAAGGUUUUGACGGGUAGCCGGCCUGAGAGGGUGACCGGGGACAAUGGGACUGCGGUACGGCCCAGACUGCUACCGUCGGCAGCAGUGGGGAGUAUUGCAGAAUAGGGGGAAGCGUGAUACAGCAAGCCCGGGUGCGGAAUAACGUCUUUUGGGUUGUAAACCGCUGUCGCCGUUGACGUAGCGGUCUUGACGGUAAUUGGUAAAGAAGCAACGGCUAACUACGUG